rnacentral:rRNA from 1 species
UACGGGGGAGCAAGCGUUGUUCGGAUUUACUGGGCGUAAAGGGCGCGUAGGCGGCCUCCGCAAGUCGACUGUGAAAUCUCCGGGCUUAACCCGGAAAGGUCAGCCGAAACUGCGGGGCUAGAGUGCAGAAGGGGCAACUGGAAUUCUCGGUGUAGCGGUGAAAUGCGUAGAUAUCGAGAGGAACACCUGCGGCGAAGGCGGGUGCUGGGCUGACACUGACGCUGAAGCGCGAAAGCUAGGGGAGCGAACGGG